rnacentral:rRNA from 1 species
CCUACGGGAGGCAGCAGUGGGGAAUAUUGCACAAUGGGGGAAACCCUGAUGCAGCGACGCCGCGUGAGUGAAGAAGUAUUUCGGUACGUAAAGCUCUAUCAGCAGGGAAGAAAAUGACGGUACCUGACUAAGAAGCCCCGGCUAACUACGUGCCAGCAGCCGCGGUAAUACGUAGGGGGCAAGCGUUAUCCGGAUUUACUGGGUGUAAAGGGAGCGUAGACGGCAGCGCAAGUCUGGAGUGAAAUCCCAUGGCUUAACCAUGGAACUGCUUUGGAAACUGUGCAGCUAGAGUGCAGGAGAGGUAAGCGGAAUGCCUAGUGUAGCGGUGAAAUGCGUAGAUAUUAGGAGGAACACCAGUGGCGAAGGCGGCUUACUGGACUGUAACUGACGUUGAGGCUCGAAAGCGUGGGGAGCAAACAAGAUUAGAUACCCGGGUAGUC